UCAGCUCCGGAACGCUGGGUAGGGACGGAGGUGACGGGACAGAAGAGGUGCGAGAGGAGGGGCUGUCCCUGCGGCAUAGAGGUGGGCCUGAGGUUCGGCGACGCCGCUCGGGGUGCCCAGCGCCACGCCCGGGAGAGGGACCGCCGUGUCCGCGUCCCGCCUCCUCUUCCGCCGCUACCGGCCCUGCCCCGCCCACAGAGUCCGAUGGUGCGGCGGCGCUGAGGGACCCGCCUGAGGGCAGUGUGACUUUUGAAGAUGUGGCCAUGAACUUUUCCUUGGAGGAAUGGGGUCUCCUUGACGAGGCUCAGAGAUGCCUGUACCAUGAUGUGAUGCUGGAGAACUUGGCACUUAAAACCUCCCUGGAGUCAACAUGUACAUCUCCAGCAUUUCUCUGCUUUCCGGUUGUUGGCAUGGAGAAGAGGAUGAGGAGGCACUUUCUGAGCAGAGUAUCUCUGAUCAAGGAAGCUCACAGAUCAGAAUUGUUAAGGCAGUAUGUCAACGCUUGAGAUCCCUCCUUGUGGUACCAUCUGAAUUGAACCUCAUACAUCCAAACAUCUGCAAACAUCCCAGGUGCCCUCAUGUGACAUUUAUUUUGAGAGUCAUCACCUCCUACAUUGUUUUUUGGUUGGCAUUACACGGUGUCAGAAGUGGGAUACAGAGCGACCUGCAAAAGCCCUCACCAACUCUUAUCUAACACUGCCUUGGAUUCAGUUAAGGUGCCUGCAAGAGCCUAUUAUGCUUUAUCAUCUCUUUGGUGAUCCCAGAUCGUGGUGGUGAGUCCUCCUGUACCUAAGCCACCCAUGUUGGUGGAAGUUCUAGUUUAUUUGGGUGUCCUCUGUUGCCAGCUUCUGUCCUCUAGGAUUUUGUUUCCUGUUUUGAGCAGCCUCCAGCAUUUUGCUUCCUGUUUGUUUUUUGGGUGUUUUUUAUUUUAUUGAAAUAUAGUUGAUUUACAAUGUUGUGUUAAUUUCUUCUGUGCAGCAAAGUGACUCAGUUAUAUAUAUAUAUGUAUAAUCUUAUUCAUAUUCCUUUCUAUUGUGGUUUGUCACAGGAUAUUGAGUAUAGUUCCCUGUGCUAUAUAAUAGGACCUUGUUUAUCCAUCCUUUAUAUAAUAGUUUGCCUCUGCUAAUCCCAUACCCCCAAUCCUUCCUUCUACUACCCGCCUUCCGCCUUGGCAACCAUACGUUUAUUCUCUAUGUCUGUGAGUCUGUUUUUCUUUUGUAGCAUACCCAUUCCACAGGCAGGGAAACUGAGUGUCCAGAACCAGGGGACAGUCCUGCUGCUGGGAAGAGGCAGAGCAGAGACCUGAACCCCUGUGGCAGAAGUAUCUCAGGGUGCCUCCUGUGUAUACAGGUGCCCUGGGCAGUUCCCUGCUGGCUGAAGACACAGGUGCAGCUGCCAGUUUUAGGACUCAGAAAUGUCUUUCUCAAGAACCUGCUUUCUCCUCAAACUGCAGACAUCAGGGAGUUAGCUCAUUUAUCAGUUCUUGUGCCAGGAUAGGAGUCUCAUCUUAGUGGAUGCUGUGGUCCAACUUAAAAAACUACCUCCUAUUACAAAGAUGAGAAGUUUGUGUUUCCUGUGGCUAAAACCAAUAAGCAAACACAGAUAGUCACCCCAAUUACCAGGAACUUCCAAUACUAUGUUAAACAAAAGUGACAAGAGUGGGCAUCCUUGUCUUGUUCCUCAUAUUAGAGGGCUCUUCAGGGUGUGUGUUGAAAAAUCACAGCUUGUGGCUGACGUGACCAGACACAGGGCCGUGUCGAUUUUCUUCGGGAAAAUGUAGAGCUGCAUCCACAUGGAGGGUAGCUAAGUUUCCUCUGGACCUGCUGGGAGGUGCUGGCCUGGUAGGGAAAGGUUUUCAAAGCAACUGCAUGAAUGCUUGGAGGCCUACCAGGUGGUCUGCAGGUGUUAGCCUAUUUUGGCUUUGGACCAUGGUGCCCAACGGUGUCUCCAGGGGCCAUUAUCUCCAUUUCAUCAGCAAGAAAGGGGAGUUGCUGUUGUUACUCAUCCUCCAGUGAUGGGUAUCGUCAUUUCGGGAGGUUAGCAGGACUCAGAGGGGACACGGGUUUGAGCCUUGGUCUCAGAAGGUCCCACAUGCUGCGGAGCACCUAGGCCUGUGAACCACACUACUGAGCCUGCGUGUCUGGAGCUUCUGCUCCACAACGAGAGGCCGCGACAGUGAGAGGCCCGCGCACCGUGAUGAAGAGUGGCCCCUGCUCGCUGCAACUAGAGAAAGCCCUCGCACGGAAACGACAACCCAACACAGCCAA